UACGUAGGGUGCGAGCGUUAAUCGGAAUUACUGGGCGUAAAGCGUGCGCAGGCGGUUUUGUAAGCCAGAUGUGAAAUCCCCGGGCUUAACCUGGGAAUGGCAUUUGGGACUGCAAGGCUGGAGUGUGGCAGAGGAGACUGGAAUUCUCGGUGUAGCGGUGAAAUGCGUAGAUAUCGAGAGGAACACCUGCGGCGAAGGCGGGUUGCUGGGCUGACACUGACGCUGAGGCGCGAAAGCCAGGGGAGCGAACGGG
rnacentral:rRNA from 1 species